rnacentral:rRNA from 1 species
GACGAACGCUGGCGGCGUGCUUAACACAUGCAAGUCGAACGGAAAGGCCCUGCUUUUGUGGGGUGCUCGAGUGGCGAACGGGUGAGUAACAAGUGAGUAACCUGCCCUUGACUUUGGGAUAACUGCAGGAAACUGGGGCUAAUACCGGAUAGGAGCUCCUGCUGCAUGGUGGGGGUUGGAAAGUUUCGGCGGUUGGGGAUGGACUCGCGGCUUAUCAGCUUGUUGGUGGGGUAGUGGCUUACCAAGGCUUUGACGGGUAGCCGGCCUGAGAGGGUGACCGGCCACAUUGGGACUGAGAUACGGCCCAGACUCCUACGGGAGGCAGCAGUGGGGAAUAUUGCACAAUGGGCGGAAGCCUGAUGCAGCAACGCCGCGUGCGGGAUGACGGCCUUCGGGUUGUAAACCGCUUUCGCCUGUGACGAAGCGUGAGUGACGGUAAUGGGUAAAGAAGCACCGGCUAACUACGUG